rnacentral:rRNA from 1 species
AACGAACGCUGGCGGCAUGCCUAACACAUGCAAGUCGAACGCGUGUAGCGAUACACGAGUGGCGGACGGGUGAGUAACGCGUGGGAACCUGCCCAAUGGUAGGGAAUAACUGCGGGAAACUGCAGCUAAUACCCUAUGCUCCCUACGGGGGAAAGAUUCAUCGCCAUUGGAGGGGCCCGCGUCGGAUUAGCUAGUUGGCGGGGUAAUGGCCCACCAAGGCUACGAUCCGUAGCUGGCUGAGAGGAUGAUCAGCCACACUGGGACUGAGAUACGGCCCAGACUCCUACGGGAGGCAGCAGUGGGGAAUAUUGGACAAUGGGGAAACCCUGAUCCAGCAAUGCCGCGUGAGUGAAGAAGGCCUUAGGGUUGUAAAGCUCUUUCGGCGGGACGAUGGUGACGGUACCCGCAGAAGAAGCCCCGGCUAACUUCGUGCCAGCCGCCGCUGUAAU